rnacentral:rRNA from 1 species
CCUACGGGAGGCAGCAGUGGGGAAUUUUGGACAAUGGGCGAAAGCCUGAUCCAGCAAUGCCGCGUGUGGGAAGAAGGCCUUCGGGUUGUAAACCACUUUUGUACGGAACGAAACGGCUCGCUUUAAUACAGUGGGCUAAUGACGGUACCGUAAGAAUAAGCACCGGCUAACUACGUGCCGGCAGCCGCGGUAAUACGUAGGGUGCGAGCGUUAAUCGGAAUUACUGGGCGUAAAGCGUGCGCAGGCGGUUAUAUAAGACAGUUGUGAAAUCCCCGGGCUCAACCUGGGAAUUGCAUCUGUGACUGUAUAGCUAGAGUACGGUAGAGGGGGAUGGAAUUCCGCGUGUAGCAGUGAAAUGCGUAGAUAUGCGGAGGAACACCGAUGGCGAAGGCAAUCCCCUGGACCUGUACUGACGCUCAUGCACGAAAGCGUGGGGAGCAAACAGGAUUAGAUACCCUGGUAGUCCACGCCCUAAACGAUGUCAACUGGUUGUUGGGUGCAUUAGUACUCAGUAACGAAGCUAACGCGUGAAGUUGACCGCCUGGGGAGGUACGGCCGCGAGUAGAACGACAANAGAGUAGACGCGUGAGACGUGCCGACGGACGACGACGAGGGAGGAGG